GACGAACGCUGGCGGCGUGCUUAACACAUGCAAGUCGAACGGUAAGGCCCUUCGGGGUACACGAGUGGCGAACGGGUGAGUAACACGUGGGUGAUCUGCCCUGCACUUCGGGAUAAGCCUGGGAAACUGGGUCUAAUACCGGAUAGGACCCUGGGAUGCAUGUCCUGGGGUGGAAAGCUUUUGCGGUGUGGGAUGGGCCCGCGGCCUAUCAGCUUGUUGGUGGGGUGAUGGCCUACCAAGGCGAGGACGGGUAGCCGGCCUGAGAGGGGGACCGGCCACACUGGGACUGAGUUACGGCCCAGACGCCUACGGAAGGCAGCAGUGGGGAAUAUUGCACAAUGGGCGCAAGCCUGAUGCAGCGACGCCGCGGGAGGGAUGACGGCCUUCGGGUUGUAAACCUCUUUCAGCACCGACGAAGCGCAAGUGACGGUAGGUGCAGAAGAAGGACCGGCCAACUACGUGCCAGCAGCCGCCGUAA
rnacentral:rRNA from 1 species